CCUUGACAUACUAAGAACUUUCCAGAGAUGGAUUGGUGCCUUCGGGAACUUAGAUACAGGUGCUGCAUGGCUGUCGUCAGCUCGUGUCGUGAGAUGUUGGGUUAAGUCCCGCAACGAGCGCAACCCUUCUCCUUAUUUGCCAGCGGGUCAUGCCGGGAACUUUAAGGAUACUGCCAGUGACAAACUGGAGGAAGGCGGGGACGACGUCAAGUCAUCAUGGCCCUUACGGCCAGGGCUACACACGUGCUACAAUGGUCGGUACAAAGGGUUGCUACCUCGCGAGAGGAUGCUAAUCUCAAAAAGCCGAUCGUAGUCCGGAUCGCAGUCUGCAACUCGACUGCGUGAAGUCGGAAUCGCUAGUAAUCGCGGAUCAGAAUGCCGCGGUGAAUACGUUCCCGGGCCUUGUACACACCGCCCGUCACACCAUGGGAGUUUGUUGCACCAGAAGUAGGUAGUCUAACCGCAAGGAGGACGCUUACCACGGUGUGGCCGAUGACUGGGGUGAAGUCGUAACAAGGUAGGCGUAGAUGA
rnacentral:rRNA from 1 species